GACAGCAGUGUCCCCAAGUGCCACCUCCUGGUGACAGCAGUGUCCCCAAGUGCCACCUCCUGGUGACAGCUGUGUCCCCAAGUGCCACCUCAUAGGGGACAGCAGUGUCCCCAAGUGCCACCUCCUGGUGACAGCUGUGUCCCCAAGUGCCACCUCCAGGUGACAGCAGUGUCCCCAAGGCUGUCCCUUUGGUGUCACCCCAGGGGUGACAGCAGUGUCCCCAAGGCUCCAUUGCUGUCCUGUGGGUUUCCUGGGUG
rnacentral:lncRNA from 1 species